AGCGAACGCUGGCGGCAGGCUUAACACAUGCAGGUCGAGCGGGCGUAGCAAUACGUCAGCGGCAGACGGGUGAGUAACGCGUGGGAACGUACCUUUUGGUUCGGAACAACACAGGGAAACUUGUGCUAAUACCGGAUAAGCCCUUACGGGGAAAGAUUUAUCGCCGAAAGAUCGGCCCGCGUCUGAUUAGCUAGUUGGUAGGGUAAUGGCCUACCAAGGCGACGAUCAGUAGCUGGUCUGAGAGGAUGAUCAGCCACAUUGGGACUGAGACACGGCCCAAACUCCUACGGGAGGCAGCAGUGGGGAAUAUUGGACAAUGGGGGCAACCUUGAUCCAGCCAUGCCGCGUGAGUGAUGGAGGCCCUAGGGUUGUAAAGCUCUUCUGUGCGGGAAGAUAAUGACGGUACCGCAAGAAUAAGCCCCGGCUAACUUCGUGCCAGCAGCCGCAGUAA
rnacentral:rRNA from 1 species